GUGCAGCAGGCGCGAAACCUUCGCAAUGCGGGAAACCGCGACGAGGGGACUCCCAGUGCCUACGCUCAGCGUAGGCUGUUCCCGAGCCUAGAAAGCUCGGGGAGUAAGGGCUGGGUAAGACGGGUGCCAGCCGCCGCGGUAAUACCCGCAGCCCGAGUGGUGGCCACUAUUAUUGGGCCUAAAGCGUCCGUAGCCGGCCCGGUAAAUGCCUGGGUAAAUCGUGAGGCCUAACCUCACGAAUUCCGGGUAGACUGCCGGGCUAGGGACCGGAGGAGGGAGAGGGGUACUCCAGGGGUAGGGGUGAAAUCCUGUAAUCCCUGGAGGACCACCGGUGGCGAAGGCGCUCUCCUAGGACGGGUCCGACGGUGAGGGACGAAAGCCAGGGGAGCGAACCGGAUUAGAUACCCGUGUAGU
rnacentral:rRNA from 1 species